CUCUCCUACGGGGCGCAGCAGGCGCGAAAACUCUACAAUGCAGGUCAACUGCGAUAGGGGAACAUCGAGUGGCGUCCAUAUUGGAUGUCUGUCCACCCGCCUAAAAAGCGGGUGUUAGCAAGGGCCGUGCAAGACCGGUGCCAGCCGCCGCGGUAAUACCGGCGGCUCGAGUGGUGGCCGAUAUUAUUGAGUCUAAAGGGUCCGUAGCCGGCUUUGCAAGUCUCUCGGGAAAUCCAGCGGCUUAACCGUUGGUCGUCCGGGGGGUACUACAUUGCUUGGGACUGGGAGAGGUAGGAGGUACUCAGGGGGUAGGAGUGAUAUCCUGUUAUCC
rnacentral:rRNA from 1 species